UAUAUAUAUUGGGAAUUGAAUGGGAGCCAUAUGUUCUAUUGACACUUGCUUUGGAGAAUUGUAAUUAAAAAGUGACCUUAUACAUAUGCAAUUUUGAUGACUAUGUUAAUGUGACUGACCCUAACUAAUCUAUUGCGAAUCUGUAAUUGACCCCAAAAAAGUAAGGCUUAGUUGUUGUUGUUGUUGUUGUUGUUGUUGUUGUUGGAAUGAAAAUAUCAGGAGGGUGGCUUGCUUUAUGUUGAAGCUGAUUGUCGAUCUUUUGGAAUAGGGAGCUGUUGGGUCAUUCCGACAGACACUUUGUCUACUUGCUUCUUUUGUAACUUGGAUCAGCCAAAUGCCAUAGUUCGUUCUAGAGUCGGAAAUCCCAAAGGUUGAAUGAAUUGUUGUCAUACUAUCUCCAUUUCCACCACCGCCAUCUCUGAUGGCGAAGAUGGUGACGACAGCAAUGACGACUAUCUUCCCCACCAUCGGGAUUUUUGAAGAUGAUAAGAAGAUACUAAGAAGAAUACUUGUUUAAGCAAUCCUUUGAAGAAAAAAGCAAUGGCAAGGACAUUAAAUUCCAAACUAUUAUUCUUUUACAAUUAAAUUUAAUGCGACUUACUAUCAAGGCCAAUUAGCUGGAACAGGAACAUAGUUACCAUCUUCAUUGAUAUUUCUAGCUGCGACGCCAUUGAUCAGAACCACCAUGCUUAUUAAAAAAACAAAGCACAAGAACCAUGACUUCAUGUUGAACCAAGUUAAGCUCAUCUUUUUUUCUUUUCUUUUCUUUUUGUCAACUUUUACUCCUACAAUUUUUUCUAUGUUGUGGUAUAAUAGUAAAUGCUAUUGACAGGUUAUAUAUUUAUACUUGGGGUGUGGCGUAUCUAUUUUUUCCACGUUUAAGACUAAUUCUUUCUCAAAUUCAAACAUCUUGGCAAAAGAUUAACUAUGUUGACUAAUGCCAAUUUCAGGGAGAAUUUGUAAUGCUAAAAAUGGGUGCAUACUUGAAACAAAUUCUAUUGGUUUUGAUUUAUUUUUCAUUUUAUGACUUAACAUAUCCAUUAUUUUUUAACCCGAAAAUAGCAUCACAGUUAAGCCAUUGAUAUUAGGAAUAGAUUGAGCUAAAAAAAGUUGUAAAGAUGACCUUUAUCCAAUAUUUGACAUCAGGCAUCCAUCCAGGUAGGAUUUGUAUCUUUUCACAUAAAAAAAAGAGAAUAGAUUGAAUAGCACAUUGCAAACAUGAUCCUUAUCCAAUAUUUGACGCAUCAGGCCAGCCUGGUAUUAUUUCUAUCUUUUUUGUAAGGUUGAAUUUAUUCAAUCAUGUGUUGGCUU